rnacentral:tRNA from 1 species
CAGAAAAGAAGUUAUAUUUAAUAAUAAUUUUGGGUAUUAUAGAUAAGGGUUCCUUCUUUCUGA